AUUGAACGCUGGCGGCAGGCCUAACACAUGCAAGUCGAGCGGUUGACGGGAGCUUGCUCCCUGAUUCAGCGGCGGACGGGUGAGUAAUGCCUAGGAAUCUGCCUAUUAGUGGGGGACAACGUUUCGAAAGGAACGCUAAUACCGCAUACGUCCUACGGGAGAAAGCAGGGGACCUUUGGGCCUUGCGCUAAUAGAUGAGCCUAGGUCGGAUUAGCUUGUUGGUGAGGUAAUGGCUCACCAAGGCGACGAUCCGUAACUGGUCUGAGAGGAUGAUCCGUCACACUGGAACUGAGACACGGUCAAGACUACUACGGGAGGCAGCAGUGUGGAAUAUUGGACAAUGGGCGAAAGCCUGAUCCAGCCAUGCCGCGUGUGUGAAGAAGGUCUUCGGAUUGUAAAGCACUUUAAGUUGGGAGGAAGGGUUGUAGAUUAAUACUCUGCAAUUUUGACGUUACCGACAGAAUAAGCACCGGCUAACUCUGUGCCAGCAGCCGCCGUAA
rnacentral:rRNA from 1 species